rnacentral:lncRNA from 1 species
CACGCGGGUGGCGAGGCUUCCCGAAGUCAGGCGUGGAGGUUGUGGGCUGUUGCAGUUUUCGCUGGUUGGAGGCUAAGGUGAAGUUGGCGUUCUCGCGUCUGCGCCCAAAUCCGCCGGCGUGGUUUGAAUUUUAAAUCAGUACUGCUCUUUUCUGGUGUCUAAACGACUAGUUUCCCGGGUUUGCGUGGAUCAACGGAAACCCCGAAGGACCAAGCUUAUCGCUGCCGCGGGUACGCGAGACAGAUGUGGCACCUUCCCUGACCCGCCAGUGCCCAGACUCUCAAUGUCCCCCCGCCCACCGCGCCCCCAACACACACACACACACACACACACACACACACUCACACUCUCCCCCCCCCCCCCCCCCCCCCCCUUUCCUCUCCUCCUCUCCAGGAAUCUCCCUGCUGGACCUGAGAGGGUUGAGGGCAGCCCCAGGAGAAGGAAAGGACCCUGGACUGCACGCUGAGGAGUCAGGAAGCAGCUGUCCCCCAGCCAGGGGCCUGCGAAAGCCGGGUGCAGACUGAACCGUUCAGCCCCAGGACAAAGUUGUUCUAACGAAGAACAACUCCUCAAAGUUGUGUUUCAGAAGUCAUGUUCCUCAAGCUACCCUAAGGAGCAUGGGUCAGUGACCAAGAGGCUAGCUUUACUUCGUUUCAAUACUAGAAUCUCCACCCGGAAGAACUAAAGCCUCAUUUGCAUAACAUGAAAAGUGCUGCUAGAUGCCAGCCCAGGAUCUUCCUGCAGGUGCAGACCAAGGUGCCUCUGCCCCUCUUGCACUCGCAUUCCCUGCCCAAAGCAAACUGCACCCGGCUGGCCUGGCCUCUGUGGGCGAUUCCCCACGGUCUCCUUAUUUGCUGCAAAUAAGUUUUCCUCUGUGUGACAGCCAUGUUUGGUGUUCUGUUCCAAUUUGAUUCCCACUAAGAGGUGGACCCAUUGAAUCUGGUGACAUUCUGACCAGUUCAAUGGCCUUGGGCAAGCAGUGAGCAUCUCGGCCUGUUUCCUCUUCUGCUCCAUGGGGAUUACACCUGCCUGUGGAAUCAUCGUGGGGUUUGGAGCACCAGUCUUUGGUGCCUCUUAGCUCCCUUCUUCCUGCUUGGGAAAAAUUUUUCCAUCCUUACUGUGGAAUUAAAUAAUUUUUCCCAGAAAACUGCCCUUUCCCACCACUCAACACCCAUAAACCAUGUUGCUAGUUCACAACUUUUUCUUAAUAAUCCUGUUCAUUAUUCUCCCACCCUUUUCCUCUGAGUUGUAUGCUGAGAAUUUUUAUGCUUAACCAUUCAAACUUUUACUGAGCACCUGCGUGCAAAGUAAAAUUUGAAUUAGUGGGCAUUCUUUAAUAUCUUCUGUAUGUUGUAUUUCUUAAAAGAAAAGGAGUUUCUAUCAAUUUAUUCUUGUUAUUUCUUCAGUCUUUCUUUACUCUUUGGAGCAAGGAUUCAAUAGCUAGGAAGAUCAUACAGCUUUUCUAAACAAUACCUUUUUUUUUUCCUGUUUUUUUUUUCUCUCUUUAAAUUCCAAACUCCUAAAGAACUAGAUUCAUCUCUUCUUCGCCUUUCCUUCUUUCUUUCUCUUGUUCAAGGUUAGAAGUCUUGUUAACAGGAAAUAAAUUCUUUCCAUCAAAUACAGCCUUCUGUUGAUUGUCUCCUCAAAAAAAAAAAAAAAAAAGGUCAGAGCUGGGUCUCUCUUGUAACCAAGUAGUCCCAGGAGCAUCUCAGCAAUUCCAGGGUUUCCAUACAUAAUAUGCUCAGGUCAGAUUAGGUUUCCUGUUUGGUGGUUUUAGGGCCUUUCUAUUUGGAUCUGAAAUCCUUCCUGUGUUUCCCCACCUGAUAUUUUAAAUGGCAUUAUUUGCACACCAUAUUCAUGGUACUUAAAAGCAGAUUGGAAAAAAUCCAAUUGUUAAUGCCCACAUCUUCUUUGUUGGGGUCCAUUAAGUCAGUUCUUCAGUGUAUGUAUUGUGGCACCUUAAUUAUAGCCAUGCGAUAUCAGAUUGCUACCAAUGAAGAAAUUUUCAUUUUUUAAUGUGGAUUAUUUGUGGGGAAAAAUUGAAUUUGACUAUGAACUUUGCUGACCUUGCCUUAGCAACAUGGGUAAAUCCAAGGUGUUUAUAGACCAUUGAAUCCUCUCUUUAUCCCCAUGGGUUCUUGGGCAGCUUAUUUCAUUGUUCUAAGCAUUCAUUUCCUCAUCUGUGAAGUGGCAGGUACCAGCGUGAGGACAGACAUGUACAGACUGCUCUGUGCCUGGUGUGGAGUGUGCCUCCAUUCGCAGCUCUUUCACUUGCUUUCCAGGCCUCCAAGAUCCGGAACCCACUUGUUUCCUAAUAGGUAUUCCCUUGUCCCUGGACUCAAGCUGCUCUGUUCAUGCACUCAUCCAGAAAUUAUCAAGCCUUAUUGUCAGUUUCCUUUGGUAGGAAAAUAUCCUACUGUCCUAUCGUCCUCUCCCAGUUGACUGUGUUAGGAUGUCCCCAGUGCCUUGCAAACACUGGCACAUCAGAGGAACUGCACUCCCUGCUUCCCCCUUGGCCCUCCAUGAAGGCUAGCUGGUGUUUAUUACGGAUAUACAUAUGUCCACCCAGUAUUCCUUCCCCCGAGAAGCCACUUUUCCUCCUCUAUGCUCAGUUCUCUGUCUUACAGGAGGGCACAUAACCCAAACCUGAACUCUCAUUCCCUGAGACUUUGGCUGGUUACCAAUACAACCUUCUCUGCUGCUUUGGUCUGGUGGACCAGGAGGGCCACUCUGGACACAGGUGGGGAGCCCACCUAUGCAGGGAGCUCUGAGAAGCCAGUGACAGGGUCUUGGUGACACUGUUCCCACUCCUGCAUCACACUCAACCCUACUCAGCCAGGUAAGAGCAUGAGCUCUGCGUCCCUUGCUGGGCUGCACGUUCCUGGUCCUGUCAUUAUUGAGUGUUCCAAACCUAUGCUCUCUUUUGCCUUAGCUUCCUCACCAGCAGCAUGGGGCUUGGAACAUACCUUCCUCAGAGGAUUGAGUAAAGGUUAAAAGCAGUACAUACAAAGUGCUUAGGCCAAUGCCAGCCCUGGAAACCUCUCAGAAAAUAUCUGCUGAAAGUUCACAGAUUUUUAUAAUAUCCCUCCUCCUCCCAAACAAAUGUUAAGUGAUUUUCUGUUACUUGCCACUUUGAGACCAAAUUAAUACAGCCCUGUUCUUUCGUGGCGCUGCGUAGCUGCCACAGUGAUCCCCAGCUGGAUUGCAAGCAACCCCAGGAAUGAGUUCAGACAUGAAAAGCUCAGAAAAAUGUGGCAUGAAAAGUGCUCAGUAAAUGCUAAUGUAUAUCACUUGGUAUACUGUCCUUCACGCCAGAGAUAAACAGUUUCAAAAAACUCAAUUGCAUAAAAAUGAAAUGAAACAGGUGACUCUCUUUAUGCAUAGCUUAAAUUAUUUAUCGCAUAAAAAGCUAUAGAUUUGGAAUUACAAGUUCAAAGAUGUGAACUUUGUAAAGGUUUUUGAUCAGUAUUUUCAGACAAGCUCCAGAAACGGUAUACUUCACAUUCCUACCAGCAGGGGGCAGAAGACGCCAUCUUUGGCAUUCGUACCAAAAAUAGACUGUUAGGCAAAAAUCUGAUUUUAAUAUGUUUUGUUGUUAUUGUUAACAGAAUUUUCACAUAUUGGCUACAUAUAUUUUUCCUUUUGGGAUUUUUCAUCUUUGCUUAUUUUUAUAGAUUAAGGAUAUUUUUGAAUAUCAG